AAUAGAUACCCAGGUAGUCCACGCCGUAAACGAUGAGUGCUAAGUGUUAGGGGGUUUCCGCCCCUUAGUGCUGCAGCUAACGCAUUAAGCACUCCGCCUGGGGAGUACGGUCGCAAGACUGAAACUCAAAGGAAUUGACGGGGGCCCGCACAAGCGGUGGAGCAUGUGGUUUAAUUCGAAGCAACGCGAAGAACCUUACCAGGUCUUGACAUCCCAUUGACCACUAUGGAGACAUAGUUUUCCCUUCGGGGACAACGGUGACAGGUGGUGCAUGGUUGUCGUCAGCUCGUGUCGUGAGAUGUUGGGUCAAGUCCCGCAACGAGCGCAACCCUUGUUCUUAGUUGCCAUCAUUUAGUUGGGCACUCUAAGGAGACUGCCGGUGACAAACCGGAGGAAGGUGGGGAUGACGUCAAAUCAUCAUGCCCCUUAUGACCUGGGCUACACACGUGCUACAAUGGACGGUACAAACGGUUGCCAACCCGCGAGGGGGAGCUAAUCCGGAUAAAACCGUUCUCAGUUCGGAUUGUAGGCUGCAACUCGCCUAC
rnacentral:rRNA from 1 species